rnacentral:rRNA from 1 species
CAGCAGCCGCGGGAAUACGUAGGUGGCAAGCGUUGUCCGGAAUUAUUGGGCGUAAAGCGCGCGCAGGCGGUUUCUUAAGUCUGAUGUGAAAGCCCCCGGCUUAACCGGGGAGGGUCAUUGGAAACUGGGAGACUUAGAGUGCAGAAGAGGAGAGUGGAAUUCCAUGUGUAGCGGUGAAAUGCGUAGAUAUAUGGAGGAACACCAGUGGCGAAGGCGACUCUCUGGUCUGUAACUGACGCUGAGGCGCGAAAGCGUGGGGAGCAAACAGGAUUAGAUACCCCUGUAGUCCCUGUCUCUUAAC